rnacentral:ncRNA from 1 species
AGAUAUGUCAACAACAGAUGAACAUGGGUUAGUCGAUCCUAACCUCUAAGUUAAACCUGAAUUAACACCUCUAUUUUUCAGAGGGUCGAGGGAAAGGAAAUCUGGUUAAUAUUCCAAAACUUGGAUAUGGAGUUUUUCGGUAACGUAACUGAAUGUGGAGACGUCGGCGUGGGCCCUACAAGAAGUUUUCUCUUUCUUCUACCAGCUUAUGACCCUGGAUGGAGUUACCAGAGAUGGGGUUUUAUGGCUGAAAGAGAAAUUGUUUAUUGAUCGUCCGGUGCGCCUACGACGGUCCUUGAAAAUCCACAGGAAGGAUUUACUUUCAUGCCAAGUCGUACUGAUAUCCGCAGCAGGUCUCCAAGGUUAACAGCCUCU